rnacentral:rRNA from 1 species
GACGAACGCUGGCGGCGUGCUUAACACAUGCAAGUCGAACGGAAAGGCCCUGCUUUUGUGGGGUGCUCGAGUGGCGAACGGGUGAGUAACACGUGAGUAACCUGCCCUUGACUUUGGGAUAACUUCAGGAAACUGGGGCUAAUACCGGAUAGGAGCUCCUGCUGCAUGGUGGGGGUUGGAAAGUUUCGGCGGUUGGGGAUGGACUCGCGGCUUACCAGCUUGUUGGUGGGGUAGUGGCUUACCAAGGCUUUGACGGGUAGCCGGCCUGAGAGGGUGACCGGCCACAUUGGGACUGAGAUACGGCCCAGACUCCUACGGGAGGCAGCAGUGGGGAAUAUUGCACAAUGGGCGGAAGCCUGAUGCAGCAACGCCGCGUGCGGGAUGACGGCCUUCGGGUUGUAAACCGCUUUCGCCUGUGACGAAGCGUGAGUGACGGUAAUGGGUAAAGAAGCACCGGCCAACUACGUG